UGGCGGAUCGUCUAAUGGUAGGACAGCAGACUCUGACUCUGCGAAUCUAGGUUCGAGCCCUAGUCCGCCAACCA
rnacentral:tRNA from 1 species